UACGAAGGGGGCUAGCGUUGCUCGGAAUCACUGGGCGUAAAGCGCACGUAGGCGGAUUGUUAAGUCAGGGGUGAAAUCCUGGAGCUCAACUCCAGAACUGCCUUUGAUACUGGCGAUCUUGAGUCCGGGAGAGGUGAGUGGAACUGCGAGUGUAGAGGUGAAAUUCGUAGAUAUUCGCAAGAACACCAGUGGCGAAGGCGGCUCACUGGCCCGGUACUGACACUGAGGCACGAAAGCGUGGGGAGCAAACAGG
rnacentral:rRNA from 1 species